rnacentral:tRNA from 1 species
GUGGAUCAGUGGUAGAACAUUUGCUUGUCAUGCAGAAGGUCCUAGGUUCGAUCCCUGGCA